UUGGCAAGGCGUUUAUCUACAUUUGCCACUCUCGAUCCAGGUACCCAUUUACCUCACCUGGGUUGAGUGCAGCACAUGAUGAGUCAUUAAGCUUUGUGUGAUAGUAUGAAAAUAUUGAUAUUUGAUUGGUACUACCAAUUACGUUGUAAUGAAAAGAAAGAAUAUGGUAAAGUAAAUAUUCAAAUAAUUUAAUCUUGAUCUCUAUCAAAAAAUCCUUGUCACAGAUUUGAAGAAUAUGGUAUUCUGGCCAACUUUUUAGACGUAUGAAGUUGAAUUAAUCAGAGCAUUUCUUGUAUGAAAAUUAUUCAGAACUCAAUCUGGAUGAUUUGAAUUAAAUAUUAUUUUGAAUGAUUUGAAUAAGAUGUUCCAAGAUAUUUAUAAAUCAUUCAAGAA